CCUACGGGAGACAGCAGUGAGGAAUAUUGGUCAAUGGACGAGUGUCUGAACCAGCCAAGUAGCGUGAAGGAUGACUGCCCUAUGGGUUGUAAACUUCUUUUAUAUGGGAAUAAAAUGUUCCACGUGUGGGAUUUUGUAUGUACCAUAUGAAUAAGGAUCGGCUAACUCCGUGCCAGCAGCCGCGGUAAUACGGAGGAUCCGAGCGUUAUCCGGAUUUAUUGGGUUUAAAGGGAGCGUAGGUGGAUUGUUAAGUCAGUUGUGAAAGUUUGCGGCUCAACCGUAAAAUUGCAGUUGAAACUGGCAGUCUUGAGUACAGUAGAGGUGGGCGGAAUUCGUGGUGUAGCGGUGAAAUGCUUAGAUAUCACGAAGAACUCCGAUUGCGAAGGCAGUUCACUGGACUGCAACUGACACUGAGGCUCGAAAGUGUGGGUAUCAAACAGGAUUAGAUACCCCAGUAGUC
rnacentral:rRNA from 1 species